UCCAAUGUUUUAAUAGGAAGAAAUAAAAGUACAAAGCUAUAAUAAACAAGUCAAUGGAAGUACGUUGCCACUUUUUGCAUUUAACCAAAAUAUUAUUGAUAUAAUGUAACGUGAUUUAGCAGUGUGAAGUUAAAAUUACACUUCUUGUCCCUCCUCUGUAAUCCUAAACAUAAAAAACCAUUACUAGUCUUUUUUAAACGGGGUUAUUUCCAUAAUUUAUGCUUCAUCUGCCUCUACUGCUGACCAUUUCAAUGUAGGUACAUAAUCCUGUGAAGUUUCAACAAACAAUGCCCCUUGUUAAAAGGCCAGAAUCACCAAUAAGCUAUCUGUUAAAAAGGUAAAACAUCUAACGAGAAUGAAUUUCAAGAUUAAUUCAUUAAACAUAGAAACUGUAUUCAAAUCAGUGAUUUUAAUUAAAUAAAUAAAUAUUUGGUGAGGAACUGCAGCUUUAUUUGGACCAGUCAACACAAGCAAUGAUAUGUAUGAUAAUCAGAUAGGGCUUAGCUUCUCUUAAGGAAUCAUAGUUGAAAAUAGUUCAUAGAAACAUAAAGGAUAUUUCUUGCAUUUAACCUUGUUCUUGUAAUAAGAAGAAAUGAAAGUAGUUCAAAUUUACCAACUUCUGAUCACACAAAUAAUAAUAUAUUAAGGACGAAAACAUAACUUUAAUUUCAUAAUUUUUAAAAAGGAUAAUGAACAGUUUGGACAACUUACUAUCAAAUAAAAUAGAACGAAGUUUACAUUUAUGAAAUGCAUGUCUAGAAAUCCUUUAUUACUUCAACAACCUGCAACAUAGAGUUCAUUAUUGUAACAUUCAAAUAAAUUAUCAAAAUAUCAUAUUUAUCCAAAUUAUUAUUUUUAUCAAUUUUACUAAGUACUAACUAAAACUUAAAAUACUAAUCCAAAAAAUUAACAUAAAGGGCCUAAUUGUAAAUACAUGAAAGUAGAAGUAACCAUAAAUGAUAACCAAUAUUUGGUACCCAAGUGUCUCUGAAGGCUUAGUUGAUUAAGCAGUAGCAACCAAAAGGUUUCUAUAUCAUCCCAAUGAAUAGUGUAGCAACACCAUAACCUAGGGCAAAAUAGUCAAAGAUUGUUCUGAAAUUAGACCUUUGCAUAGAGUAAAAAGAUCAAAUUCUCCAAUGAACAAACAAUGCAUCAAGAAAGGGAACUCCACAAUUGUUAGAACGAGGCAGAACGUAGAACCCUCCUCAAUCACAUGAGUGCAACCCACGUGACGAAUUUAGACUGCCAAACGCUAAUGAUUUUGUAAUUAGUGAAAUAAAGUAACCCAAGAAUGAAGAUAAACACAAUUUACGUGACAGAAGUUAUAAUACUAGAAAAAACAUGACCGCUGUCACAGACACAAGAGAUUUCACACACCUAAAUCCCAUAAUCUGUGAUAUUUAGUAAUCAGGAAAAGUUGGAAUUACUGAUGAUGAAAUCAGUAAAACACGACUGCAAAAUCACUGAUGAUGAAAUCAGAAAGACACGAUUCAUAACCUGUUGGAAUCGAAAUCGAACAUGAGGAAAUCAGUAAACACCGAUUCGAAACAUGAAGUCGCUGAUGAGGAAAUUGGC
rnacentral:lncRNA from 1 species